rnacentral:ncRNA from 1 species
CCGGCUCCGGUUCCCGUCCCCUACCUGCGUCCGCGCAGACGGGGCGACCCGGCGGCC